UCAGACGAAUUUUGAUCCGCAGAUUUCUGAAUGGGGAAACCCAAUCAAUUUAUUGAUUAUUGUAUACUGAAUCCAUAGGUAUAUAAGGCGAACCUAGUGAACUGAAAUAUCUCAGUAGCUAGAGGAAAGGAAAUCAAAAUGAGACUCCGUUAGUAGUGACGAGCGAAUGCGGACCAGGCCAGUGAUUUAUAAUAAAAAAUUAGAAUACUUUGGAAAGAGUGGCCAUAGAUGGUGAUAGCCCAGUAUAAGUAAAAAUAUUAUAAGUCCUUGAGUAGGGCGGGACACGUGAAAUCCUGUUUGAAGAUGGGGGGACCAUCCUCCAAGCCUAAGUACUCUUUAACGACCGAUAGUGAACAAGUACCGUGAGGGAAAGGUGAAAAGAACCCCGGGAGGGGAGUGAAAUAGAUCCUGAAAUCAAAUGCUUACAACCAGUUGGAGCCUUAUAUGUAUUUUAGAAGCGAUUUUGUUGUACAUAUUGA
rnacentral:rRNA from 1 species